UACGUAGGGUGCGAGCGUUGUCCGGAAUUAUUGGGCGUAAAGGGCUCGUAGGCGGUUUGUCGCGUCGGGAGUGAAAUCCCGAGGCUCAACCUCGGGUCUGCAGUGGGUACGGGCAGACUAGAGUGUGGUAGGGGAGAUUGGAAUUCCUGGUGUAGCGGUGGAAUGCGCAGAUAUCAGGAGGAACACCGAUGGCGAAGGCAGUUCUCUGGGCCGUAACUGACGCUGAGGAGCGAAAGCGUGGGGAGCAAACAGG
rnacentral:rRNA from 1 species